AGCUAGCUAAGCAGAGCAGUGCUAAGCAGAACUCCAAGCACUGGAGUGUGGUUUGAUCUGGUUUUCUUUUAAUUACCUCUGCAGUGUUCUCUGUAAGUGCUGUGGAAUAAGCCUGCUGUCUGAAGGUGCCAUUUCAGUGCUGUGUCUAAGUGACCUCGUCUGUAGCAUCGUAGUCUCUGAUCCUAGCUCAUCUUUCUGAAAAUGAGAAAGAAGUUUGUGUAACCACUUGUGAUGGCUGUAACAAUCCUUUCUCAUUAAGGUUGUCCCUGGUGUAGUGCUUCGCUCCCAGGAUUUCAAUAGGCUGUGUAAUUAGUAUCCAUUCAGGAGACGUGUGUCCUUUUUGUACAUUUGUAACUAGAAAAAAGACCAUUUAUAAUAAUAAAAUAAAUAGUGACCCCACCAGACAUAUACAUUCUUUAAUGGCAAUAUCCCAAAUGUGUGUUAACAUUUAAAUGUACUUUGCAGGUGUAUAUAGCAAUGCAAGCAGUACGUCUGUGAGCUUUUCCUUAUUCCCUCUGGGGGUGACCCAAAAGACUGAGUCUGCUCCCAAUUAUGUCCACUCUGUAUUCUCCCCCUCCCUUUCUAACCUCUGCUUUGGCCCUUGGGAAACAAUUGCCUUAAGGAGUAAUUGCCUUUUUUUUUUUUUUUUUCUUUUUUUUUUAAUAUAAAAGGGGAAAUUUUUUUCCUGAAUGGAAUUGGGCUGCUGCAGCUCAGAAAUAGUCAGGCGAUGAACAACACAGAAAAGCUGUGUGUUUGCAAUUAAAGCAAAUCAUCUCAUUAUCUGCCAAGAAGGAAACGACUGGAAUGUAGGAAUAGACAGGUAUAAACUCUUCAGGAAAGACAGGCAGGGGAGAAGGGGAGGGAGGUGUUGCCCUCUACAUAACAUCCAGCUGGUGUUCACGGAGGUCUGCCUGGGGAUAGAUAAGGUGCUGACAGAGAGCUUUUGGGUUAAGGUUAAAGGGAAGGCAGGGGAAGGAGACAUCGUAGUGUGGGUCUGAAACAGGUGGCUCUACCAGGAAGACCAAGUGGAUGAGACCCUCCAUAAACAGAUAGGAGCAGCUUCACAUUCACAAAACAAGGUCCUUGUGGGGGACUUCAACCACCCUGGUAUCUGUUGGAGGGGCAACACAGCAGGGCUCUAGAAAUCAAAGAGGUUCUGGGAAUGUGUUGAUGAUUACUUCCUCUUCUAAGUGGUUGGGGCCCCCAGCACAAGGACAUGGAGCUGUUGGAGCCAGUCCAGAGGAGGGCCACAAAGAUGGUCAGGGGGCUGGAGCACCUUCCCUACGAGGACAGGCUGAGAGAGCUGGGCUCUUCAGCCUAGAGAAGAGAAGGCUCUGGGGGGGAGCUUAUAAGGCCUUCCAGUACCUGAAGGGGGCCUACAGGAAAGCUGGGGAGGGACAUUUUAGAAGGGCAUGGAGCAACAGGACAAGGGGAAAUGGUUUUAAAGUGAAAGCGGGUAGAUUUAGACAAGAUAUUAGUAUGACGUUCUUUACUGUGCGGGUGGUGAGACAGUGGAACAGGUUGCCCAGAUAGGUUGUGGGUGCCCCUCCCUGUAAGCAUUCAAGGCCAGGCUGGAUGGGGCUUUAAGCAACCUGGUCUAGAGGGAGGUGUCCUUGCUUUUAGCAGGAAGGUUGGAACUAGAUGGUCAGCUCUGAAAGGUCCCUUCCCACCCAAACCAUUUCAUGAUUCUCUGAGGUCUUCAUACAUCUACAGUGAGUCAGAACUCCAUAGAGUUCUGGAGGUACAGGUGAAAGCUUUUAAAUGGAAGCUUUAAGAGAGGGGCUAGCAUUUUUUUUUUUCCCCCAGUCUUAUUAUCAAAACAUGCGGGUUUAUGAAUAAGUAGUCUUGAUACUUUCUUUGCUAAUAGCUGCAGAGUUGGGAUUAGGAGUUGUUUUAGUCUGCUUGUCAGGGAAAUGUGUUCCCUUGUGACCUGGGUAAUAUUCUUCCAGGGAGCUGGCAGUGCCAUACUUGGAGAAAUAUUUUGGCCCUGAAUACCUUUGUUUUACUUGCUUGGGCUGAUCUGUAUCAUUUUGAUGCCUUAUAUUUGUUUUUUUUUCAUUUGAUUCAAACUGAGCAAUAGAGCCAUGUUUCAAGGCUGGUAAUUUUAGGCUUAGGUUUUGAGUACCAAAUUUCAGAAGGAAGACAGCAGAGUACAGUGUAACAGCUCACUCUGCUCCAGCCUACAUGUCAUUUAGUAUCCUGGAGGCUUGUCAGAAACUGUAGAAGUAGUCCUAUAACAAAUAGCUGUGUCCUCGAUACUCCCUCUGGACAGAAGAAUUGAAAUUAGCUUAGAAAUAAAUGUGAACUGGAUCCCCAAGCUAAUUCGGCUAUACAGAUGUAGAGACUGCACACAAUGCAUGAUCUCAGUUUUACAGACACUAGAUUGUCAACCUUGACCAGACCACUUUGUUGCCCCCUGUCUUUUGUUAGUUUUAAGGUUGUUCCAGUGGGAUUUUCUUUCUUUAAUUAUCUUAAUCAUGUGAAUUGAAACAGAAAAAAAUUAAAUUUAUUUGCUUUCAGUUUGCUAAUGUCAAGUUGUUAUCAAUUAUUUUAUCCAAUUAGUGAAAAUCCUUGAUGUUACAUUGUUUCAAAUUAUCUACAAUUGUGCAGAAAGCACAAGUAAGCCAUCAUUCUGAAAUGGUGGUGUAAUUUUGUAUGAAACACUCAGUGACGUAUUUUCUGAACUGGCGCUGCCUUGCCCUGUGUUUGGGGCAGAGAAUGCAGGAUAUUUAGUAUCUCAAAACAAGGUUCUAUUACACCCAAAUCUGCCAAUAGAGGGCAGCUUUAAUUUUGU